GAACUCGUCUAGCAUGUCUGAGGCCCUGGGUUUAAUCUUAACCCAGUACCACAAAAGAAAGAAUAAAGAAUUAUGAGAUAAGGGGUUUGGCAGAUAUUCAAGUUAUCCAGUCGUUAUUUAACUAAUUCAUGAUUCUUUUCAUUUUACAGUCUGGUGAAAUUGACAUUAUAAAUCACAAGACGGGAGACAAGUGUAAUCUUAAAUUUGUUCCUUAUAGCUACUUCUCUCGGGAUGUAGCAAGAAAGGUAAGGGAAAGUGGAAUUCAAUUUUUUUUUACUUAGAGAGCCUACUCCUGUGGAGCUGGUGUGGUGUGUGUGUGUGUGUGUGUGUGUUAAAAAUGGUGAUUCAAAAAAAGUAGAGGGCUGGGGCUAUAGCUCAGUGGCCAAGCACUUGCCUAGCUAAUGUGUGAGGCACUGGGUUCAAACCUUAGCACCAAAUAAAAAUAAAUAAAAUAAAGGCAUACUGUCCAUCUACAACUACAAAAAUGAAUGAAUGAAUGAAUGAAUAAAUAAAUAAAUAACUAGAGAUAAAGGAUAAAGCAGGAAAAGGGACUAUGUUUCAUUGAUGAACCAAUUUCUUCUCAGACCGGUGAGGAAGUAAAAGUCAAGAUCGAAGAGAGACUCAGAAUGGAAACACAAAGGAGGGACUAAUAAAAGAAUUAUAGGAAGAGAGUGUGGACAGUUUGACCCUUGAGAGUUUUAGGGGGAAUUUUGUGUUAACACCAUGGAGAAAUUGUGCUGUGAGUUUUUGUGAGAGAAUGAACAGUAGCUGGGGAUUUAUUUGUGAUUGUCUCUAUUUUCUCCAAAAUAUAAUUCUGACCACUAGUCAGAUACUUUUUCUACUUAUGAUUGCAUCAGAAAUCCCUCUAUAAAGUGAUAAUGAAACCCUAAGCCAUGGCUCAGUUAUUUCAAAAAUAAUAUAACAAAGUAAUCUGGAUGACUCCAUCAUGUUUGUUAUACCAGGACUUAACCAGUAUUUCCCUCUGACUUUGGUUUCUGGAUUAGUCAGUUAAGCUACCUCACAGUGAAUACUCUAUUCCAAAGCCCUGCUCUCCACCCUUGCAGGUGACAGGGGAAGUGACAGAUCCAUCGGGAAAAGUUCAUUUUGCCCUUGUGGGGACUUGGGAUGAGAAAAUGGAUUGUUUCAAAAUACAGCCGGCUGUUGGGGAAAAUGGGGGUGAUGCUCGCCAGAGAGUCCAUGAAGCAGAGGAAAGCAGGGUCAUGCUGUGGAAAAGGAAUCCUUUACCGUGAGUAUUAGUGUGCAAGCUGCCCAAGUACCACUUUAGCCUUGACUGUGAAGCAGUACUGAAGGUAUUUCUGCCUGCCUUCACUAUGUGAUUUGAGUUACAGCAUGCCUUGUCCCAAGAAAGUUCUAACUAACCAAAUCACAUCUGUGAAAAAAUGUUUGGCCUUCCCAAAGAGCCAUUGGAAUGCAAUUCACAAGGAUAUUUUCUACAAUUUAGAGCAGACUAUGUAGGAGCAGCUAGAGGAGAAAGGUGCUUACUACCUAUUAACAAUUUAGCCUAAAAUGCAGGAGCAAUAUAAAAAUCCCUAAGACAGUGCACAGGACUUUGGAACAAGGUGGAAGCCAUUUGUCUCCUAUCACCAUCUAAUCCAUUCAGUCUAUAGUAACAGCCAAGAUUAUCCCAGAAAGAGGUUAAAAGGGAAACAAAGGAAUGGAAAUGAGGAAUUUCAUUAAGUAGAAUAUUUCAUUCUUCCUAACAAAUGUAGAUCAUUUUAACUGAGAGCAGUGUAGUCCCAGAUGACUAUUGAAUUGAGUGAUGCUGGGGGUGGGGGGUGAGGACAGGAAUGAUCCAGUUUGGCUGUCUUCAUUAGGGGUUCCUGACAUGGUGCUAGAUUUUUUCCAUUUGUGGAUCAGCCUUUCUGCUCCUUCACUAAGUUCUGGGCUCUGGCGUUACCCUUCCUUUCUCUCAUUCUUUACCCUUAGGAAGAAUGCAGAAAAUAUGUACUACUUUUCAGAGCUGGCUCUGACUCUCAAUGCCUGGGAAGGUGGCACUGCACCCACAGACAGCCGGUUACGGCCUGACCAGAGACUGAUGGAAAAUGGGCGCUGGGAUGAAGCCAAUGCUGAAAAGCAGCGCCUGGAGGAAAAACAAAGACUUUCCCGAAAAAAGAGAGAAGCAGAAGCUAUGAAAGCCACAGAAGAUGGUAAUGAACUUGCCUUCUACUUACAUUUCUUGAUGCAUAGAGAGUGUCAGCUCAAUUUGUGCUUUUCUUUCUUUUAGGCACGCCAUAUGAUCCUUAUAAGGCACUGUGGUUUGAGCGGAAGAAGGACCCUGUGACCAAGGAGUUAACCCAUAUUUAUAGGGGUGAAUAUUGGGAGUGCAAAGAAAAGCAGGACUGGAACUCAUGCCCAGACAUUUUUUGAAGCACCAGUAACACAAAGGAAGCGGAUCAAAUGGAGAAGAGGACAGAGGAUGUGCAGGAAAGCUGGCAGUUGUGACUCUUACCAAGUGCUUUCCUCAAGUUUGUCUGUCUUAACCAAUCAUUUUUUCCAAAUCAAUCACCAGAAGCAGACACCAGUGGUGGUGAUUGGCUGGUUGCCUUAGCUGAUUGAUGCUGAAAUCGAUGUACUAGAUACCUUGUAAGGGAGAGGUUUAGUGGCUGAAAGUUAGUGUUAUUCCACUUCUACAAAGUCAAGUAUUCUUGGCUCUUCUUCCUCCCUCUGCCCCAUUUAAGGUGAUGUUAUUCACCCUCCCCAUGUAGUAUCCUGCUCAGCCAAGAUCUGCGUAAAAUUGUGAUUCAUGAGCAUUUUGGUGCUGUUCAGGCAAGAACUGAUUUUAAAGUUCCUUUAAAAAGAAACACAUAUAAGACUUAACCAGCAGAGACAUCGAGAGUGAUUGCAGUGGAGCUUAGGUCUAACAUUGUGAAAGGUGUUCAUACAGCGUUGGUUUAAUGGGGCAUCGUGCAUAGAUAACUGAGGUAUUAAAACACCUGCAAGAGUGAUUGUUCUGUAGGGCUGGAAUAUUCAGUUACAUUCUUGGAAGUUUCUAUCUUCAUCACGUGAAACACUUGUCUGCUGUUCUCCAUCUUCUUUGGCAGCAACUGGAGGCCAUGUGGUGGUUGUUAAAAGAGUCGCAUUAUCCUCACAAAGGGGUUUUACGGACUUCCUCAGGCAGAGAACUUCUGAGAACACAGGCAGGAUGGAAAAAGACUGCUAGCCACUUUUACCUUCCCGGUUCCUCCUCGCCCCCAUCCUUCAUGCCUUUCUAGCUUCUCUCUCCUGGCAUAAUACCAAUUUGGGCCUGUGCCCCAGUCUGGAGCAAAACAUUGCCUGUCCCCUUCUGAUAAACUUCAGAAUUUGAGAGAAGUUAAUCUGGAACAAAAGUUUUCACCAUCUCUCAAGCCCCAUGGACUGGAGCCACCUCUGGAAUAAUGUGUUAAAUAUCUGUAUAUUAUAUAUAUGUAGAGAAAAAUCUAAUUUUUUGUUUGACUUUCCUCCUUCCCAUUAAGAAUCUUGGUUUUUAAUAUCACUUGUCUCCCUGGGACUCUCUUGGACAUGAGCUGGUGUGUAUUAGCACUCCUUUACUUCCAUCUUCUAGAGGCAGAUUUGAAACCUGAGCAGGAAGGAUCACGUCUAGCAGUUACAGAACAGGGACUCUGUCCAUGGUUUGUAUCUUGGGGUGCCCACUGAAGUCUGAACUCUGCUCUCCUAAUUACCCGACUCUUGAAAAUGAAAUCCUAAACUCUUUCCUGCCUCUUUUCUGUCUUUUGUUAGGAAGAGUAUGGGUAGAAAAUCAGGAGGGUAAUUUCCUAUUUACUCCUGCCUCUGUCCAGCACGUAGGCUAAAUCCCAAAAGAACUUUCUUCCUAGGGAUGUGGGCUAAAAGCACUGUCAAGUGGGGUGGAUCAGAGAACUGAGCCUGUUGGGACCUGGCUUCCUUCUUAUUGUAUGUUCUAUAUUUGUUUCAGUUGUCUUGUUCAGAAAUCUCCCCUGGGGAACCCACCCUUGGUUGAGGAUCACAAAUUGAGGUGCCUUCCUUGUAUGCUUUUUGUUAGUGUUUUUUGUUUUUGUUCCUUAACUGCUGAGCCUCAGCCAGUGUGGGUCCUGGGGGGAAAUAUCAUUCCAGAGGAAGCCAUCCCUCCGGGAAAUUGGAUUUUAUGGGUAAAUUAAUUAGUACUUUAAUCCUUCCCCACUAUCCCUCCUUGCUGUGAUAGACAUGAGAGAGGAGUGACUGACCGCUGGAGGAGUGUCCUCCUUUCUAAGAAUGCUUUUCCCAGCACAAGCCAGAGGUUAUGCUGGGGCUUCUUCCAAGGAGGCCCAUGGAAGCAGGAACUUCAUCUGGGGCUUUGGAUAGAGUGUGAAUUCCCCAGCUAAACUGAACUUCCUGCUUUAUCCCCCUUUUCCUCCUUUACCAUCUGCACUACAUUUCUGAAUUGAUCCCCAGAUUCCUGCUAAUGGAAGCAGCUUAGAGUCCUUCAGGUGGAAUAAAGUCACAUGAAAAUGAAA
rnacentral:lncRNA from 1 species